rnacentral:rRNA from 1 species
CUAGCUGCAAACGAUGGAUACUAGGCGUUGAGAGUAUCGACCCUCUCAGUGUCGUAGCUAACGCGUUAAGUAUCCCGCCUGGGGAGUACGCGCGCAAGCGUGAAACUCAAAGGAAUUGACGGGGGCCCGCACAAGCGGUGGAGUAUGUGGUUUAAUUCGAUGCAACGCGAAGAACCUUACCAGGGCUUGACAUGUCCGGAACCCUGCCCAAAGGCGGGGGUGCCUACGGGAACCGGAACACAGGUGGUGC